AGGGGGGGGGGGGGGGUUGCUCUCCCAAAAAAUUUUUCGGAAAGCAACAACCCCCCCCCCCCCCCCUUUUUUAGGGA